CUAUGCGCCUUGCCAGCCCGCUCAGGUGUGCCAGCAGCCGCGGUAAUACGGAGGAUGCGAGCGUUAUCCGGAUUUAUUGGGUUUAAAGGGUGCGUAGGCGGUCCGUUAAGUCAGCGGUAAAAUUGCGGGGCUCAACCCCGUCGAGCCGUUGAAACUGUCAGACUUGAGUUUGCGAGAAGUACGCGGAAUGCGCGGUGUAGCGGUGAAAUGCAUAGAUAUCACGCAGAACUCCGAUUGCGAAGGCAGCAUACCGGCGCCCGGCUGACGCUGAGGCACGAAAGCGUGGGGGAUCGAACAGG
rnacentral:rRNA from 1 species